GAUGAACGCUGGCGGCGUGCCUGACACAUGCAAGUCGAGCGAUUCUCUUCGGAGAAGAGCGGCGGACGGGUGAGUAACGCGUGGGUAACCUGCCCUGUACACACGGAUAACAUACCGAAAGGUAUGCUAAUACGAGAUAAUAUGCUUUUAUCGCAUGGUAGAAGUAUCAAAGCUUUUGCGGUACAGGAUGGACCCGCGUCUGAUUAGCUAGUUGGUAAGGUAACGGCUUACCAAGGCGACGAUGCAGUAGCCGAUGCUGAGAGGGUGAUCGGCCACUUUGGAACUGAGACACGGUCCAAACUCCUACGGGAGGCAGCAGUGGGGAAUAUUGCACAAUGGGCGAAAGCCUGAUGCACCAACGCCGCGUGAGCGAUGAAGGCCUUCGGGUCGUAAAGCUCUGUCCUCAAGGAAGAUAUUGACGGUACUUGAGGAGGAAGCCCCGGCUAACUACGUGGCAGCAGCCGCGGUAAUACGUAGGGGGCACGCGUUAUCUGGAUUUACAGGGUGUAAAGGGAGCGCGGACGAUGUGGCAAAUCUGAUAUGAAAGCCAUGGGCUCACCCCCUGGAUUGCAUUAGAAACUGUCGUACUUGAGUGUCGGAGGGGUAAGCGGAAUUCCUUGUGUAGCGGUGAAAUGCGUAGAUAUUAGGAGGAACACCAGUG
rnacentral:rRNA from 1 species